rnacentral:tRNA from 1 species
AGAGGUAUAGUUCAGUGAUAGAGCAUGUGCUUAGCAUGCACAAGGCCCUGGGUUCAAUUCCUAGCAUCACAC